AGCGAACGCUGGCGGCAGGCUUAACACAUGCCAGUCGAGCGGGCAUCUUCGGAUGUCAGCGGCAGACGGGUGAGUAACACGUGGGAACGUACCCUUCGGUUCGGAACAACUCUGGGAAACUGGAGCUAAUACCGGAUACGCCCUUAUGGGGAAAGGUUUACUGCCGAAGGAUCGGCCCGCGUCUGAUUAGCUAGUUGGUGGGGUAACGGCCUACCAAGGCGACGAUCAGUAGCUGGUCUGAGAGGAUGAUCAGCCGCACUGGGACUGAGACACGGCCCAGACUCCGACGGGAGGCAGCAGUGGGGAAUAUUGGACAAUGGGCGCAAGCCUGAUCCAGCCAUGCCGCGUGAGUGAUGAAGGCCUUAGGGUUGUAAAGCUCUUUUGUCCGGGACGAUAAUGACGGUACCGGAAGAAUAAGCCCCGGCUAACUUCGUG
rnacentral:rRNA from 1 species